CUGGGGUGGAGCUUAAUCAGUUUGGCGUCACCAUGCUAGCCACUGCUGUCCAGUUUUUCCUCUGAUCUUCUAGUUGUCAGUUGUGAGUUUUUGGGAGAAAAGGACUCAAAAGACUGAAAUGCCAUGGAGGAGUUGUUAUAAUGUGAUUGCCCAUUUAGCGGCGAGGUGCACAGCUGAGCCUAUUACUGGGAUAGAGGGAGAAAUUGUGAGUUGAGCACAAAGCACUGCCCAAGCCCCAACAAUAGGACUGCAGGACACAGCUCAUGAAAUUAGCCUGGCCAAGUCGUUACAGGCUGCUGGAGCUCUAGUGUACAAUUUAUUUGCAGAUGUAUUCAUCUUUUUUCACCAUGGGCCCCAAGAAAUUGGUGGUUAGUGAGGAGAAGACAAGAGUUGUUUUGUCCAUCAAAACAAAACAAGAAAUCAUUGAAAAAUAUGAAAAAGACAUGCGGGCAUAUGGCUUACUGCUUAUGCUGCUGCUGCUGCUGCUGCUCCUCGACGGACAUUUGAGAGGUUCAAAGUGGAGUUUGAACCUCAAGUUGAGGAAAUUGCUUCGCUUGGUACAGGCUGAGGCCAUCAACGAGUUGGUUCUGGAGCAAUACAAGAAUCUUUCAAAGUUCAGGAACACCACAAGUAUCUUUCGAUGGUGAAGCAAAAGGCUGGAGGCGAUGCA